GAUGAACGCUGGCGGCGUGCCUAACACAUGCAAGUCGAACGGGGAAGUUUAUUUCGGUAGAUUCCUUAGUGGCGCACGGGUGAGUAACGCGUGAACAAUCUGUCCAUCAGAGGGGGAGUAACACUUGGAAACAGGUGCUAAUACCGCAUAGGACCACGGGGUCACAUGAUCCUGAGGUGAAAGGAGCAAUCCGCUGAGGGAGGAGUUCGCGUCCCAUUAGGUAGAUGGCGGGGUAAAGGCCCACCAUGCCAGCGAUGGGUAGCCGAGCUGAGAGGCUGAACGGCCACACUGGAACUGAGAGACGGUCCAGACUCCUACGGGAGGCAGCAGUGGGGAAUAUUGGGCAAUGGGCGAAAGCCUGACCCAGCAAUGCCGCGUGAGGGAAGAAGUUUUCGGAUUGUAAACCUCUGUCGCAGGAGACGAAAGGAAUGACGGUAUUCUGUGAGGAAGCCCCGGCUAACUACGUG
rnacentral:rRNA from 1 species